rnacentral:rRNA from 1 species
CAGCCUAACACAUGCAAGUCGAGCGGUAGAGAGAAGCUUGCUUCUCUUGAGAGCGGCGGACGGGUGAGUAAUGCCUAGGAAUCUGCCUGGUAGUGGGGGAUAACGUUCGGAAACGAACGCUAAUACCGCAUACGUCCUACGGGAGAAAGCAGGGGACCUUCGGGCCUUGCGCUAUCAGAUGAGCCUAGGUCGGAUUAGCUAGUUGGUGAGGUAAUGGCUCACCAAGGCGACGAUCCGUAACUGGUCUGAGAGGAUGAUCAGUCACACUGGAACUGAGACACGGUCCAGACUCCUACGGGAGGCAGCAGUGGGGAAUAUUGGACAAUGGGCGAAAGCCUGAUCCAGCCAUGCCGCGUGUGUGAAGAAGGUCUUCGGAUUGUAAAGCACUUUAAGUUGGGAGGAAGGGUAGUAACCUAAUACGUUGCUACUUUGACGUUACCGACAGAAUAAGCACCGGCUAACUUCGUG